UGCAGUCGAACGGUAACAGGUCUUCGGAUGCUGACGAGUGGCGAACGGGUGAGUAAUACAUCGGAACGUGCCCGAUCGUGGGGGAUAACGGAGCGAAAGCUUUGCUAAUACCGCAUACGAUCUACGGAUGAAAGCGGGGGAUCUUCGGACCUCGCGCGGACGGAGCGGCCGAUGGCAGAUUAGGUAGUUGGUGGGAUAAAAGCUUACCAAGCCGACGAUCUGUAGCUGGUCUGAGAGGAUGAUCAGCCACACUGGGACUGAGACACGGCCCAGACUCCUACGGGAGGCAGCAGUGGGGAAUUUUGGACAAUGGGCGCAAGCCUGAUCCAGCCAUGCCGCGUGCAGGAUGAAGGCCUUCGGGUUGUAAACUGCUUUUGUACGGAACGAAAAGGUUCUUUCUAAUAAAGAGAGCUCAUGACGGUACCGUAAGAAUAAGCACCGGCUAACUACGUGCCACG
rnacentral:rRNA from 1 species